GGGGGAUUUGAAGAAGUCCACCGAGAAGCCGAAGUAGCUCCCCGAGGGGCCGCUGUACACAGAAGGACGCUCGGCAUCCAAGUUGAAGGAGCUGCCGCUGUGGAGGAACAAGGACUCCAGGAACAGGAGGGCGAUAGACGGCCAGCCUACAGCCAUGGCUGCUCCGGCUGCCACCCGAGGAGACACAGACACAGGCGGCGGAACGAUGUCAGUUGGCUAGCCGGAAAGCUAACUAGCAAACUGGUUUCACUACAAAAGUUGUUUAGACCUAAGCCACCACCCAAGAGGCAUAACUCAGAGAAGAAAACGCUCGUUUCGCCAGUAUGGAACCAGGAAGACGCCAGUACGGAAGCCCUGGGUGAGGCCGUCAAUUUCGGCGCUGAUGGAAGACGCUCCCCCAGGAUGGCCUGCAGCUGAUGCCCGUGGCUGCCAGUGUUGCAGUGUGUUGACACCUUGGGAAAGUCCACAAAGCAGAAUUUUGGAGCUUCAUCGUGUUCUGGGUCACAAGGAGAGACAUCCCAUAUGAUUCAUAUGAGUCAUCGUUCAGGUGCAGGUCUGUGUAUCGGAUACCCUUUUCCUCCAGGAGACAACCGACCAGAGUGAGUGAAACAGUGGCAUCCAUGCAGACCGCCGGAUCACCUGAAGUCACCAAAGAGGAAGACUGGAGGUUUGGAAGCACGAAGGUGAUGAUGAGGAGAAACUCACUUGCCAGCAUCCAUGGAUGUGUUAGGAGGAUCUGAGCAGUGUCUCCAUUAAAGAAGACAGUAAUGUUGUAAUUGGACUGAUAUAUGGUGACUGUAAUCCCAGUCUGGUCCUGGUGGAGGUCCAAACCUUCAUGUUUUUCAAGCACACCGUUGAUGUCCACAUAGGUGUUGUUCACCUGCAUCACAAACAAGUGGAUCAAACAUACUCAACAUCUUGGGCUUUAAUUCAGUAGACCGGGUGCAGGUGUGGCGCACCUGACCUGUGCCACAAAAA